GAAGAAAGACCCAAGACGAUGUCAGAGAGAUCAGCAGGGGCUGGGCUAGAUCAUGUUGGACCUUGUUAGGACUUUAUGUAGGAAAGCCAUGUGAAUUUUCUUGUUUCUGUAUAUAUGGGUGCCAGGGAUUGAAUCCAGGACCAGGGUUUGACUGUGCGACCCAGGAUGGACUUGAACUCGAGAUUUUCUUGUCUCAGCUCCCAAAAUGCUGGGGUCAUGGAUGUGUUCUACUGGGUUCAGCUUCUUCGCUUACCUCUAAAAUGUCUGGUGGAUCUGGACAGCACACUGCGAGGGAAUGGAAGAAGCUGAGAGUUUCAGGACCUUGAGGAAGCAGCGCUCACCGUCGCCCUGAACCCAUAUCAGAAGGAGGCAGCUUUGGCUGCAGACUAGCAACCCUGGGGAUGGUGCUGGAGAUCUUCUGUGUCUAGAGAAGAUGGAGAGGGUGUCGUUUUCCUAGAGAAGUCGCCAGCUCGGCAGGGGUCAGGUGAGACGGUGGACACCGGUGGAGCCUUGGGGAUGAGGUACUGAAUUCUCAGCUAGUAGGACCUUGCCUUGGGUGCAAUGACGGAAACAAGAUCCCCAGAACAAGAGCUCCCCGCCUGGUGUACCCCUUCCUUCUCUUCCCGAGAUGUCUUUGCUCCUUAGACUUAGGGACUAUUCACUUCAGGGACGGCUGGACAGGCAGGAGCCUAACAAGGUGGGCCAUGCCACAUGUACUGUCAUUUAUGGUCAUUACCAGGUCCUCUCGAGGCACUGCUGAGUGGCAGGGAAGAGCCACCAGUGGGCAAAUCCAGCUGACUUGGGAGCUCCUGCUUCCCCACCACGUGGUCAUUUCAGAUAGAGUCAGCGAGAGCACAGGAGUGAGUCCUCCUCCUCUUUGAGUUAUUGUGGGCGGUGGGUUUGUUGAGUCCUACAUUGAGUAACGCAUACUGUGAACGGCGUGGUGUCAGCAUGAAACUUAUUACCUUCCUAGAGGCUAGAAAUCCUCAACCAAGCAAUUGGCAGGGUUGACUUCCCCGAGGCCUUUUUACAGGACCGAAGAUGAUGCUUUCCAUGUGUUUCCACAUGAAUUUCCCCUGGAUAUAUCAGGGUCCAAGCAGAUGGUCUCAGAUUAGAUGAAUGCCCGUCUGAGGACCUCAUUUUAACUUAACUGCCUCUGAGGCACUUAUUUCCGAAUACAGAAACAUUCUGAGGUAAUGGGGGUUAGAACAUCAAUAUAUAAAACAAAAAUUGAGACACGAUUCAUCCUGUGAUGAGCGGAAAACUUUUUUAGAACCAUAGGGAUGGAUUAGAACAAUAAUAACCCAUUCUUAAUGUUAGUUUCCAGGCACAUCCUGGGAACCUGGCAUAGUGCAUCAUCCCUCUGUGCAUGGUCCAGGACACGCGGCUUUGGUUUCUCCAAGAAGGAAUAGUAAGUUUGGAUACUUGGGAGAGAAUGGGCGAAGAGUUGGGGUACAGAACAUGGCGGGAGGACCUGAAGGUCUUCACGUUUUCACUUUUGGUUUAUGAAGCCUUAAACGUGAUUCUGUGGCUCUGAUGUCAUUUUCUCACCGAAAGGCAGGCUCUGAGAAAGUGGAGCCUGGAGGAGCCCAACCUCAGCCAGCCCUUGUGGAAACUGUCUGCAAGCUUACCAGGGAGUGAACCAAGUUGCCCUAAGGGCAUAGAGAGAAUUGCUCUCCAAAGGAAAAACCCUUAUUGCCAACUGAGAUUCGUGAAGACCUGAGAGAAUUAGACACAGACUUUGUGGUCAGACUUUUACAUGCAACCCUGAGAGAAGCAUGUUGCUGGGGAAAGAACUUACUGGUUUUCGAGAUUUUUUUUUUUCCAUUUUAUAGCAGGAUGACCCAAAGAACACAGACCAGAGGCUUCUGUGUUUUGUUUCUCUCUCUUCUCAGUCAGCUUCUAGAAACUAUGGAGAGCCACUGGGCCAGAAGUCAAGCUGCAGAGGAAGCAGUAGAGUGAUAAGAUAGGGAAGGAAUGCGGGAAGCCAGUGAAGUCCGGAGUAAGUGAGAAUCGCUGAUAUGGUACAGCUGUGUUAUGAUUCUUAGAUGAAUCAUAGAUGUAGCAAAGCCUUCCCCCAUCUGAAGUUCCGAGGAGUGGUGGAGCCUUCCUCUCGUUCAAGUACCACUGUUUAUGAGUGACUGACCUCCUACAGCGUGGUAAGGUUGCCCGCUGACAUUCUGGACAAGUGCUUCUUCAACAAAGGAACACAACAAAGAGAAAGGUAUCUCCGCAAAAGAAUUCUUUUUGUAAAAAGAAUGGGCCAGAAUCCCAGGAUAGCAAUACAAAGGGCCAAUGUCUUUUAUCCUUGAAGUAGGUGAUGACUGUAUCUUAUCCCAUUCCGUUCACAAUCUGACCCAACUGCCGUAAGACAACCGGCUUGCAAGUGGUUAACAACCUUUGGUAAAAAUAAAAUAAAAUAAAAUAAACAAACAACUGCUUCUCAUAGUCUACAGGACCAAUAGAACUGACUGACCUAAGAGACACUUCUACACCUCUAAUCGCUUGAAGUGACCAUAAAGGAUUUACUGAAACUAACUCCCUGAUAUCUGACAGUUCUCACUCCCUGAUGUACGAUCAAAUCGGAUUAACACGGACAAAUCUUACCCUCGGGACAUGGGACAAUGGCAGACAAAUGAGCAAAUAAUUAAUCAUCAAUAUGAUGUCUUCGGAGAUGGGGUUGGGACUUGUCAGAACGGAAAUGAAGUCAUGCUGGGCAUGAAAGUGCUUGCCUGUCUUUCCAGCACUUGGGAAGCUGAUCACAAGUUUGAAAACAGCCUAGGCUUUGUGAGGAAACACUGUCUAAAGUCAACAAGAUGGAGUUGCCUGUGUCAUCCCUUCCAAAGAUAAUUAAAAGCCAAGAAAUUAUGCAGAAA